GACGAACGCUGACGGCGUGCUUAACACAUGAAAGUCGAACGCUGAAGCCCUUCGGUGUGGAUGAGUGGCGAACGGGUGAGUAACACGUUGGUAAUCUGGGCUGGACUGUGGGAUAAGCCUACGAAAGGGAGUCUAAUAACGGAUAGGACACAUCAACCGAAGGCCUGUGUGUUGAAAGUUCCGGCGGUGCAGGUUGAGCCCGCGGCCUAUCAGCUUGUUGGUGGGGUGAUGGCCUACCAAGGCGACGACGGGUAGCCGGCCUGAGAGGGUGACCGGCCACACUGGGACUGAGACACGGCCCAGACUCCUACGGGAGGCAGCAGUGGGGAAUCUUGCGCAAUGGGCGAAAGCCUGACGCAGCAACGCCGCGUGGGGGAUGACGGCCUUCGGGUUGUAAACCUCUCUCGACCGGGACGAAGGAUUCGUUUGACGGUACCGGUAGAAGAAGCACCGGCUAACUACGUGCCAGCCGCCGCCGUAA
rnacentral:rRNA from 1 species